CAUUGUUCAAAGCCGACGGGUUGUAUCCCCUGCUGCACUAGACCUUCUGCUACACUAGGCCUUGACUAGACCCGAAGUACCAGGGAAUAUUUUAUGAAUUGACAAGAAACAUAUGACAUUGCAUUUACAGGAAGGAGGAGCAAUGACCACACCAAGGAGGCGCAAUGACAAAAACAGACUAAGGAGCCAGUUUACCAACAUACCAACAUUACCACGUUAGCUGGUGACAAUUUCACCUUAUUCAUAAGCAAGGGAGAUGUGGAAGAAGCAUUUGGAAGACAGUUCAGUCACAGAAAAUUUCAUCCCAAAUACAACCAGAGUUGAGGAAACAGCAUGCUGUUCAGAGAAAUUUCUUGAGAUGUCAAAUUCUGGUCAGUAUCUUUUGGCACAUAUGAGGGAGACUUCAAGAAUUUCCCCUGGAUCAGAUGGUUCAUCCUCUUUAUCAGAUAAUAGUCACCAGCUCAAAAGCAGUUGUAAGAGAGGUCAACUUUCAAAUUCAAAUAAUGAGGAACAAACAAAUUCAAAUAAUGCAAUUGAUUACAAUGUUGAUACGGACGUACACUUAAGGAAGAAAAAGAAACCACGAACAAGUGGCAGAAAACCACAAAUAUAUGACGACGCACCUGACAUAAGCGAACACCAUACUCGGACGAGAAGAGGAGGAGAGAUGAGUAAUAGCAUGGAAUCAUCAGAUACUAGUUUUUCCAAAAAUAAAACACCAGAACAUAAACUCAAGAA